CACGACCGUUGACCACGACGACGUUGAUAGGCCGGGUGUGUAAGCGCAGCGAUGCGUUGAGCUAACCGGUACUAAUGAACCGUGAGGCUUAACCUUACAACGCCGAAG
rnacentral:rRNA from 1 species